rnacentral:tRNA from 1 species
UCCAAGGUGGCUCAGAUGGUAAAGAAUCAGCCUGCAAUGUGGGAGACCUGGGUUCGAAUCCUGGCUUGGGAA